CAUAGGUGCUACAGUCAACCUGCACUGUAGACCAAUAUAUCGAUGAUGUAGCUAGCCUCGCUUUGAUACAGUAGCCUUAUUCUGAGCUACACAAUAGAAGCGAUCUCAGUUCCUGCCAGGCCUUGGUCAAAGACACGUCUCCCAUGUGUGUUACAUGUCUAUUCACCUCGACACAGGAUAUACGUUUUGUAAAUGAAGAUAUUUUAUUGCACACACAUUCUCAAAAUGACGGUUCUCAUUACACACA